rnacentral:rRNA from 1 species
UACGGAGGGUGCAAGCGUUGCUCGGAAUUAUUGGGCGUAAAGCGCGUGUAGGCGGUUUUCUAAGUCUGAUGUGAAAUCCCAGGGCUUAACCCUGGAACUGCAUUGGAUACUGGAUAACUAGAGGGCGAGAGAGGAUGGUGGAAUUCCUGGUGUAGGGGUGAAAUCCGUAGAUAUCAGGAGGAACAUCAGUGGCGAAGGCGGCCAUCUGGCUCGCACCUGACGCUGAGACGCGAAAGCAUGGGGAGCGAACGGG